UACCAGCACCCCGAGUGGUCGGGACGUUUAUUGGGCCUAAAGCAUCCGUAGCCGGUUCUACAAGUCUUCCGUUAAAUCCAACUGCUUAACAGGUGGGCUGCGGAAGAUACUAUAGAGCUAGGGAGGCGGGAGAGGCAAGCGGUACUCGAUGGGUAGGGGUAAAAUCCGUUGAUCCAUUGAAGACCACCAGUGGCGAAGGCGGCUUGCCAGAACGCGCUCGACGGUGAGGGAUGAAAGCUGGGGGAGCAAACCGG
rnacentral:rRNA from 1 species